GAGUUUGAUCUGGCUCAGAUUGAACGCUGGCGGCAGGCUUAACACAUGCAAGUCGAGCGGGGAAAGGUAGCUUGCUACUGGACCUAGCGGCGGACGGGUGAGUAAUGCUUAGGAAUCUGCCUAUUAGUGGGGGACAACAUUCCGAAAGGAAUGCUAAUACCGCAUACGUCCUACGGGAGAAAGCAGGGGACCUUCGGGCCUUGCGCUAAUAGAUGAGCCUAAGUCGGAUUAGCUAGUUGGUGGGGUAAAGGCCUACCAAGGCGACGAUCUGUAGCGGGUCUGAGAGGAUGAUCCGCUACACUGGGACUGAGACACGGCCCAGACUCCUACGGGAGGCAGCAGUGGGGAAUAUUGGACAAUGGGGGGAACCCUGAUCCAGCCAUGCCGCGUGUGUGAAGAAGGCCUUAUGGUUGUAAAGCACUUUAAGCGAGGAGGAGGCUACUAGUAUUAAUACUACUGGAUAGUGGACGUUACUCGCAGAAUAAGCACCGGCUAACUCUGUGCCAGCAGCCGCGGUAAUACAGAGGGUGCGAGCGUUAAUCGGAUUUACUGGGCGUAAAGCGUGCGUAGGCGGCCAUUUAAGUCAAAUGUGAAAUCCCCGAGCUUAACUUGGGAAUUGCAUUCGAUACUGGAUGGCUAGAGUAUGGGAGAGGAUGGUAGAAUUCCAGGUGUAGCGGUGAAAUGCGUAGAGAUCUGGAGGAAUACCGAUGGCGAAGGCAGCCAUCUGGCCUAAUACUGACGCUGAGGUACGAAAGCAUGGGGAGCAAACAGGAUUAGAUACCCUGGUAGUCCAUGCCGUAAACGAUGUCUACUAGCCGUUGGGGCCUUUGAGGCUUUAGUGGCGCAGCUAACGCGAUAAGUAGACCGCCUGGGAGUACGGUCGCAAGACUAAAACUCAAUGAAUUGACGGGGGCCCGCACAAGCGUGGAGCAUGUGUUUAAUUCGAUGCAACGCGAAGAACCCUUACCUGGUCUUGACAUACUAGAAACCUUUCCAG
rnacentral:rRNA from 1 species